GAGCUUCAUGCACUAGCUUUCUCAGCUGUGACACUCAUGGUGGCACUGGGAGCACACAGUGUGAAGAGCAUCUGCAAAUUGCUC
ensembl:miRNA